GACGAACGCUGGCGGCGUGCUUAACACAUGCGAGUCGAACGGAAAGGCCCUGCUUUUGUGGGGUGCUCGAGUGGCGAACGGGUGAGUAACACGUGAGUAACCUGCCCUUGACUUUGGGAUAACUUCAGGAAACUGGGGCUAAUACCGGAUAGGAGCUCCUGCUGCAUGGGGGGGGUUGGAAAGUUUCGGCGGUUGGGGAUGGACUCGCGGCUUAUCAGCUUGUUGGUGGGGGAGUGGCUUACCAAGGCUUUGACGGGUAGCCGGCCUGAGAGGGUGACCGGCCACCAUGGUACUGAGGUACGGCGCAGUCUCCUACGGGAGGCAGCAGUGGGGAAUCUUGCACAAUGGGCGGGAGCCUGAUGCAGCAACGCCGCGUGCGGGAUGACGGCCUUCGGGUUGUAAACCGCUUUCGCCUGUGACGAAGCGUGAGUGACGGUAAUGGGUAAAGAAGCACCGGCUAACUACGUG
rnacentral:rRNA from 1 species